rnacentral:rRNA from 1 species
ACAGCGGGGAAAGAAGACCCUGUUGAGCUUGACUCUAUCCUGGGGUUGUUGGGCGACUUAGGAGGUGUAGCAUAGGUGGGAGCCUCCGGGCGUCUCUGAAAUACCACCACUCCCAAGAUCGUCCUGCUGAUCUUGUUAUCGUAAGCGCGCUUGGGCUCACUCCCGUGGCGUGGUCCAUGCGUGGCAGGUAUGCUCGAGUGAGCGUGAGGUCCACGUGACCCUUGCUUACUUGAUUUCUUACGCACAAGAGACACCCCCAGGUGGGGAGUUCGGCUGGGGCGGUACACCCGUCAAAAGACAACGCGGGUGUCCUAUGGUCAGCUCAACGAGGACAGAACUCUCGUGUGGUGUAGUUAAGGGUAGAAGCUGACUUGAUUCGGGCUCUCAGUAGGAGCUUGAGCUGCGAAAGCAUGGCCUACCGAUCCUUUAGCCUUCUGGGUGUGAAGCUAGAGGUGUCAGAAAAGUUACCACAGGGAUA